UUGUACUGAGCCUUUACCAAAAGAAUUAGUACCAACGAUCACUGCGCGUUUAUGAUCUUGCAAUGCACCGGCAACAAUUUCUGAUGCUGAAGCAGAGCCUCCAUUAAUCAAUACAAUGAGGGGAAUAUCUUUGGCGACAGUCGUUUCUGUGGCCGAAUAGCGGAAGUCGGAAUCGCUAAUGCGACCUUCGGUAUAAACGAUUAAGCCUGAAUCUAAGAAGGCAUCAGAGACUUCAACAGCAGCGUCUAGUACGCCACCUGGGUUAUUGCGUAA
rnacentral:ncRNA from 1 species